UACGUAGGGUGCGAGCGUUAAUCGGAUUUACUGGGCGUAAAGCGUGCGCAGGCGGUUUGUUAAGCGAGAUGUGAAAGCCCCGGGCUCAACCUGGGAACCGCAUUUCGAACUGGCAGGCUCGAGUUCUGAAGAGGGUGGUAGAAUUUCCAGUGUAGCGGUGAAAUGCGUAGAUAUUGGAAGGAAUACCGGUGGCGAAGGCGGCCACCUGGUCAGAAACUGACGCUGAGGUACGAAAGCGUGGGGAGCAAACAGG
rnacentral:rRNA from 1 species